UACGUAGGGGGCGAGCGUUGUUCGGAAUUACUGGGCGUAAAGCGCGCGCAGGCGGAGCGUUAAGUUGGAUGUGAAAGACGAGGGCUUACCCCUUGCAGGUCAUUCGAUACUGGCGUUCUAGAGUAUGUGAGAGGGAAGCGGAACUCCCGGUGUAGCGGUGAAAUGCGUAGAUAUCGGGAAGAACACCAGUGGCGAAGGCGGCUUCCUGGCACAAUACUGACGCUCAUGCGCGAAAGCCAGGGCAGCGAACGGG
rnacentral:rRNA from 1 species